AAGUUAAAUACUAAUAGAUCUCAAAUGGCGCUCGUUACAAAAUUGCAGGUUGAGAAUUAUGUGUUCCCACCAACAGUGGUGAAACCUCCGGGCUCCAACAAUACGUUUUUCCUCGCCGGCGCAGGGAAUAGAGGUUUGGAGAUUGAAGGAAAAUUUGUGAAGUUUACUGCGAUCGGUGUGUACUUGGAAGAGAGUGCUAUUCCAUUUCUAGCUGAUAAAUGGAAAGGGAAAAGCUCUGAGGAGUUGGAACAUUCAGUCGAAUUCUUCAGGGAUAUCGUUACAGGUCCCUUUGAGAAAUUCACUCGAGUGACUAUGAUCUUGCCCUUGACGGGUAAGCAAUACUCUGAGAAGGUGGCAGAAAAUUGUGUUGCCUAUUGGAAAGCAAUAGGAACCUACAGUGAUGCAGAGAGGGAGGCCAUUGAAAAGUUCCUCAAUGUUUUCCAGAGUGAAACCUUCCCACCUGGUGCCUCCAUCAUUUUUACUCAAUCACCGCUUGGAUCAUUGACGAUUAGCUUCUCUAAAGAUGAUUCAGUUCCUUGUGUUGGGAAUGCUGUUAUAGAGAACAAACAAUUGUCAGAAGCAGUGCUGGAUUCCAUAAUUGGCGAGCACGGAGUUUCCCCUGCAGCAAAGUGUAGUAUUGCCAAAAGAGUAUCAGAACUGUUGAUUUGUGAAAAGCCAGGAAGUGAGCUAUCUAUCCUCAGUCCAGUAACUGAACUACAGAAAUCGAAAAGAAAUCCACCAUGUCAGAAAUUGGAGUCUACUUAGGACAAUAAAAGAGGUUCUAGUGCUGAAACUCCCUUGUCAACGCGGUCUGAUGUGUCAAGAUCAGUUUGGCGUGAAGGUGAACCUGGUUUCCAAUUGGUGGAUCUGUUUUCUGCAGAGUGCUCAUUAAGGGGAAUCAUAAUUGUGAAGCUACGACGUGGGCAGGAGUUUAGCUUAAGAGCAAUAGCACGGAAAGGAAUUGGCAAACUUUAUGUGAAAUGGUCUUCUGCAACUACUGUGACUUUCGUGCGUGAACCAGACAUCUACUUCAAUGAGGGCAUGAUGGGGACCUUGACUCUCCAAAGAUAAUUACCAAAGAGUAGUUCCACCACGGAAGUCUCUGGCAUUGACCCUGAGAAGAAACAGGGACCCGAUCCUCUACAGAGUGUUCACGUCCAGGACAAUAUGCUAUCCAGAUGGAAAGUUGUCGUGUCAGAGGUUGGUGGAGUCGCCAGUGUACUGAACCAAUCAGAACUGACGAGGUUGUUUGUCCAACGGUUAAUAAUUCUUUAUGGUUGAUUUAAUCAACAUGAAAAACAACAAAUCUUUCAUUCAUUCAAAGAGAGAAAAAUCAAGCUUCCCAAAACAGCAAGGGACCUGAUGGAUCGAAGAAUUGCUUUCCGAACCUGCUGAUGUUUUGUUUGCUUGUAUUUGUGCUUAUAUUGUAGGAUUCAUUUCACUCUUGAUAGAAACAUUUCAAAACCUUUUUUGAAUCUUGUAACAACUUAGUUAGGGGUAA